rnacentral:rRNA from 1 species
UGCAAAACUAGGGGAUGAGCUGUGGAUAGGGGUGAAAGGCUAAACAAACUCGGAGAUAGCUGGUUCUCCCCGAAAACUAUUUAGGUAGUGCCUCAUGUAUCACUUCCGGGGGUAAAGCACUGUUAUGGCUAGGGGGUCAUUGCGAUUUACCAAACCAUGGCAAACUCUGAAUACCGGAAAGUGCAAGCAUGGGAGACAGACGGUGGGUGCUAACGUCCAUCGUCAAGAGGGAAACAACCCAGACCGCCAGCUAAGGUCCCAAAUGAUCAGUUAAGUGGUAAACGAGGUGGGAAGGCAUAGACAGCCAGGAUGUUGGCUUAGAAGCAGCCAUCAUUUAAAGAAAGCGUAAUAGCUCACUGGUCGAGUCGUCCUGCGCGGAAGAUGUAACGGGGCUCAAACUGAUAACCGAAGCUGCGGAUGUGUACUUAGUACACGUGGUAGGGGAGCGUUCUGUAGGUCUGUGAAGGUGGUGGUGUAAACCCUGCUGGAGAUAUCAGAAGUGCGAAUGCUGACAUGAGUAGCGAUAAAGCGGGUGAAAAGCCCGCUCGCCGAAAGCCCAAGGUUUCCUACGCAACGUUCAUCGGCGUAGGGUGAGUCGGCCCCUAAGGCGAGGCUGAAAAGCGUAGUCGAUGGGAAACGGGUUAAUAUUCCCGUACUUUUAUGCAGUGCGAUGUGGGGACGGAGAAGGUUAGGUUAGCGGCCUGUUGGAAUAGGUCGUUUAAGCCGGUAGGCUGGUGCGGUAGGCAAAUCCGCUGCACCUUAAGGCCGAGAGGUGAUGACGAGGGUCUACGGACCUGAAGUAACUGAUACCACGCUUCCAGGAAAAGCCACUAAGCUUCAGCUGCAUAAGAACCGUACCGCAAACCGACACAGGUGGGCAGGAUGAGAAUUCUAAGGCGCUUGAGAGAACUCAGGAGAAGGAACUCGGCAAAUUGACACCGUAACUUCGGGAGAAGGUGUGCCUCUGUUGGUGUAGGACCUCGCGUCCGAAGCUAGUAGAGGUCGCAGAGAAUAGGUGGCUGCGACUGUUUAACAAAAACACAGCUCUGUGCCAACACGAAAGUGGACGUAUACGGAGUGACGCCUGCCCGGUGCUGGAAGAUUAAAUGAUGGGGUGCAAGCUCUUGAUUGAAGUCCCAGUAAACGGCGGCCGUAACUAUAACGGUCCUAAGGUAGCGAAAUUCCUUGUCGGGUAAGUUCCGACCCGCACGAAUGGCGUAACGAUGGCCACACUGUCUCCUCCUGAGACUCAGCGAAGUUGAAAUGUUUGUGAAGAUGCAAUCUACCCGCUGCUAGACGGAAAGACCCCGUGAACCUUUACUGUAGCUUUGCAUUGGACUUUGAACAGACUUGUGUAGGAUAGGUGGGAGGCUAUGAAGCUGGAACGCUAGUUUCAGUGGAGCCGUCCUUGAAAUACCACCCUGGUGUGUUUGAGGUUCUAACCUUGGUCCGUGAUCCGGAUCGGGGACAGUGCAUGGUAGGCAGUUUGACUGGGGCGGUCUCCUCCCAAAGUGUAACGGAGGAGUUCGAAGGUUACCUAGGUACGGUCGGAAAUCGUGCUGAUAGUGCAAUGGCAAAAGGUAGCUUAACUGCGAGACCGACAAGUCGAGCAGGUGCGAAAGCAGGACAUAGUGAUCCGGUGGUUCUGAAUGGAAGGGCCAUCGCUCAACGGAUAAAAGGUACUCCGGGGAUAACAGGCUGAUUCCGCCCAAGAGUUCACAUCGACGGCGGAGUUUGGCACCUCGAUGUCGGCUCAUCACAUCCUGGGGCUGUAGCCGGUCCCAAGGGUAUGGCUGUUCGCCAUUUAAAGUGGUACGUGAGCUGGGUUUAAAACGUCGUGAGACAGUUUGGUCCCUAUCUGCCGUGGGCGCUGGAAAUUUGAAGGGGGCUGCUCCUAGUACGAGAGGACCGGAGUGGACGAACCUCUGGUGUACCGGUUGUGACGCCAGUCGCAUCGCCGGGUAGCUAAGUUCGGAAGAGAUAACCGCUGAAAGCAUCUAAGCGGGAAACUUGCCUGAAGAUGAGACUUCCCUGGAGGCUUGACCUCCCUGAAGAGUCGUUCGAGACCAGGACGUUGAUAGGUCGGGUGUGGAAGCGCUGUGAGGCGUUAAGCUAACCGAUACUAAUUGCUCGUGAGGCUUGAUC